GCGGCAGGACCGCAGGAGUCCGAGCCUGUCCCACGAGGCGAGGUCUAACGGGCGGGGCCCCGGCCAGGGUAAUACCGCAGCGGUGACCAGUAGCGGGCAGCCACGCGGCGCAGCGCAACCCCCCCCGAAAGAGAAGGGCCUCUCGAGGGAAGGGCAAGAGCGGCGGCUGGUAAAUAAAGAUCGCGUCGACGCCUCUUCCCCUCCCCCAGACCUCCCCGUCUAGGCUUCGAUUCCGCCCUCCUCGAACCCGCCUUCCUUCCCGUCGUUUUCUCCCCAGCUCCAUCGUCCUCGGGCUCCGGAGAAGGAAGAGCCGCUCUGGCACCAGGUCUUCGAACCUCCCCUGCCCUGCCCCGCCUCGUCUCCCCCUGUCCCCGUCUCGGUCUGUUGCAGGUAUGGGUGUUCUCGGUGGAGCACCUCCUGCAAGCUGCCCAGCGACCCGGCACUGCGCAGAAUGGGCCCGAAUCUACUUGAGGUACUGCUUGUGCAGCCAGAAGGAAGGUGCUGCCCUGGCACUUGGGCUAAUCAGUGUCAUAAGCUGGGGCUUCGCCGAGGUGCCACAGAUAAUGACAAAUUACAGACAGAAGUCAACAGAAGGACUCUCUGUCGCUUUUCUUAUGACCUGGAUUGUUGGGGAUUUGUUUAACCUUGUUGGCUGCUUCCUCGAACCUGCUACUCUGCCAACUCAGAUGUACAUGGCACUGCUAUAUACCAUCACAACUCUAAUUCUUACCGUACAGACGAUAUACUAUAGCCACAUCUACCAUCGUCUUGAAGCAAAAAAAUCCAGGGCAGCUAGCAAGGCUCAAAAGCAUCAACGUGCGGAUGCAUCAUUACGUGAAAGGCUUUUGGGUGCCAAGGACGGUGUGUUAUCCAGAAACAACGGGUCAGAUGCUACAGUCCUUAUUCCAAGCUCACCUAUUCCUGUUAAUGUGAAAUUGGUCGACCAAUACCAUGGAAGCAGCCCCAACACCGACUACUACUACAUGUCAGCAAGAUCUUUGUCCAGGAGUCCAGUGCCAACUGCUGGUACAUGGUUGGGCAGUAAUCGUCAAUCGUUAAUGACUCCUCCACAAACGAAUGAUCAAAGGGGAUCUUUAAUUGGUGAAAUCGCUCCAGCACAUUCUGCACCAUCUACUGUUACAAAAAAUGCCCUCUCAGUGGCACCAUGGAUGGGUCUUCUAUUGGGUACGUGUCUCUUGCACAUUUUGAUUGGAAACACACAUAGGGAGAUGCCAAGUGGAACUGUCAUACCAGUUGGAAGAAGGCUUUUAGUGUUUGUGGAGGGUCAUGGAAAUUCAUCGCUCAGCCAUGGCAAUGGAAGUGAAAUUGGACGCUAUCUUGGUUGGGCUAUGGCAAUAAUUUAUAUGGGUGGGCGCCUUCCCCAGAUUUUGUUAAACAUGCAAAGAGGCCACGCUGAGGGGUUGAAUCCAUUAAUGUUUACCUUUGCUUUACUGGGAAAUUCAACAUAUGUAGGAAGCAUACUUGUAAAUAGCUUGGACUGGUCGAAAGUUGGACCAAAUCUCCCGUGGCUCGUAGACGCUGGAGGAUGUGUUUUGCUGGAUUCUUUUAUCAUUCUUCAGUUCCUUUAUUUCCAUUAUCGGAAGCAAAGGGAGCUUUCAGAUGAGCACGACAAAGCAGAUAAAGCCUGACAGAAAUGGUUUCUUCUUCAGUACAAAGGUCUGGUUCUCCUAUUAUGAACAUUUGUUAUGCUGCACUGUAGUUGUGGUCUGAUGGGAACCCUUGUACAGAAUUCGCAAUUUUGAGUAUAAUAACUGAAGCUGAAAUGAGUACCUCAUACAACUGGCUCUGGGUAGCAGCAUCAUUCUUACGUGAAGAGCACCACUCAUACUCAGGAGUCGGGACAGAUUUGGAGCGUCAUUUCACUGGUUGCUGCUUGGGGAGGGUAGUUCUCACGGCGUCAUCUCUUGUGGAGAGGCUUGUGCACUUAAUUUGUCUUGUAGUAUCAAAACGUCUUGUAUAAUAUUAUCACUGUUCUCGAAUAUUGGUUCAUUAUCUCUGUUCUCGAAUAUUUGUUCUCAAAUAUUUGUUACCUGUUAGUUUAUUUUUGAAACGACGGAGGGAAUAUUUAUUUA